rnacentral:rRNA from 1 species
GACGAACGCUGGCGGCGUGCCUAAUACAUGCAAGUCGAACGCUUCUUUCCUCCCGAGUGCUUGCACUCAAUUGGAAAGAGGAGUGGCGGACGGGUGAGUAACACGUGGGUAACCUACCCAUCAGAGGGGGAUAACACUUGGAAACAGGUGCUAAUACCGCAUAACAGUUUAUGCCGCAUGGCAUAAGAGUGAAAGGCGCUUUCGGGUGUCGUUGAUGGAUGGACCCGCGGUGCAUUAGCUAGUUGGUGAGGUAACGGCUCACCAAGGCCACGAUGCAUAGCCGACCUGAGAGGGUGAUCGGCCACACUGGGACUGAGACACGGCCCAGACUCCUACGGGAGGCAGCAGUAGGGAAUCUUCGGCAAUGGACGAAAGUCUGACCGAGCAACGCCGCGUGAGUGAAGAAGGUGUUCGGAUCGUAAAACUCUGUUGUUAGAGAAGAACAAGGACGUUAGUAACUGAACGUCCCCUGACGGUAUCUAACCAGAAAGCCACGGCUAACUACGUG